CGGCCAUGUUUUAUUACAUUUUUGCAACUUCGCAAAAUUACAAAGUUAGCCGCACACGGGCCAAAUAUUGCAAAUUGUUGCGAUAACUUGCGUAUCGUUUGAUCGGUCCCAUCGCAAUUCAGGGCAAGUUAGAGGCUGUUUAUAUGAGAGGCAGGACGGGACGUUUGCCGGGACGAUUUAUAUGUACAUCCCGGGUUUAGGAGCUGUUUACAUAAUAUAUUCCGCUUUGCCCGGUCGAGAUAUGAGGCGGGAUGAUUUUGAGGUUUUGCAAUAAGGUAGACGAUAUUACGCUUCCUGUUGAUGAACAUUUCUUUUAGGAACAUAUUGUGUUAUUGAGGUUCUUAGUUGCAUUAAUUUUACCACACUAUAAGCUGAAACUGAUGAUCUGUUUGUAUUUAGGAAUUAAAGUUCGAUCCUGUGCUCGUCAAUUCAAUAUGAUUUAAUAUCGUUUUGGAGAGAGGUUUUGGCGCUGGUAUAAGUGUUAAAUAAUUAAUUAGCCAUCGUGAUUAAUAUGUGGCCAACGCCUUCGUAAAUAACAUGCGGCUAAAGCUUGUAAAAUGUGCUUACACAACAAUUCCUAUACCGAUUAUACCCGCAAAUAUAUUCUCAUUAUUCAUGCGGCCUAUACUGAAAGUAUGUAGAUAUUUAUUUCUGAAUUACAUGUAUAUAUUGGUCAUUCAUUCCUGGUUUCAUUCCUGGUUUCAUUCCUGGUUUCAUUCGGUUUCAUUCAUGGGCGUACGGACCUAAUCUUGUUUGGAGGGGAGGCACAGUAAUAGUUGGCCCGAACGCUUUGCUUACAUAGUACACAUAUACAAUUUGUUCGAGAGGGUGGGGGGGGGGGGUAUUUUUUGAAAAGGGAUAGCCGUGUGGCCGACAUACCACGCAUGAACCCUAUGGGGGUCUGCGGGCAUACUCUCCCAGAAAAGUUUUGAAAUUUGAUGCCCGGAAAUGCAAUUUCCUGCAUUCUGAGCAUCCAAAUUUGCUCUAAAAUUUAUGCUAACUAUACUUGUAUUUGAAAUAAGAAAAGGAAAAAAAAACGCAAAAAAAAGAUUUAACAAUAAUUUAUCAUCACUUAUUAGACGGGGAUAGAUGGCCGAAGUCCACUUGUGUGGGGGCAUACUGCCCCGUGUUUUUAGGGAUUUCAGCUUUUAGUAUUCCGUGUUUUCGAGAUUUCGGUUUUUGUGUUACAGGUUUUAAUGAUUAUGGCUUUUAGUAUUCCGUGUUUUAGAAAUUUCGGCUUUUAGUGUACCUCCAUUCCCGGCCGGUCCACGAAUGAUGUCCCCAAAUUCCUUGUUACACUGACUUGGAACGUCAAGUGUCUUAAAUCGGCACAUGAUGCUUUGGACGACUUCAUAGGUCUAGGGUCUAUCAAAAUUUCCUUCAUUUUGUUGAUUGCCUCAGUUUUAUCAAUAUUCAGACCUUUGAACUGCAAAGGACCAAAUUGGGCAGCAGAAAAAUUCGAAAUGAAUAAUCCUAACACUGAUGCAACUUGGAGAAUACUGGGUGAUGGACUGUGUAGGAGCUCUAGUCUAAGCAUAAUGUCUUUAUUUUUUUUAUCUUUUCUGCAGUUGGUAAGACCUUCAUUACAAUUGAGUUCAUCUUAAAACCAAGGAUGGUUGUUACUUGUUUUGCUAUAAAUUAUGAUUUAUCAAUUAAGAUGUAUAGUGAACUCCAGAGCAUAAAGCAGCCUAGUUGUACCUAAAACAUUGUUGGCACAGUAAUCAUAAUCUUCACCUUGUAAAUAAGAGUCAUCUAUAUGGCUGACCGAUAUAUGUCGCAGCCGCCGUAAGUGGGAAUUAACUUCCUUUAACAGCUUUGGAAAUUUCCUAAGACAAGUUUCCAGG